rnacentral:rRNA from 1 species
UGAGGAAUAUUGGUCAAUGGGCGGGAGCCUGAACCAGCCAAGUCGCGUGAGGGAAGACGGUCUUACGGAUUGUAAACCUCUUUUGCCGGGGAGCAAAGGGCGCCACGCGUGGCGUUUCGAGAGUACCCGGAGAAAAAGCAUCGGCUAACUCCGUGCCAGCAGCCGCGGUAAUACGGAGGAUGCGAGCGUUAUCCGGAUUUAUUGGGUUUAAAGGGUGCGUAGGCGGGCCGGUAAGUCAGCGGUAAAAUAGCGGGGCUCAACCCCGUCGAGCCGUUGAAACUGCCGGUCUUGAGUGGGCGAGAAGUGCGCGGAAUGCGUGGUGUAGCGGUGAAAUGCAUAGAUAUCACGCAGAACCCCGAUUGCGAAGGCAGCGCACCGGCGCCCGACUGACGCUGAAGCACGAAAGCGAUGGGGAUCGAACAGGAUUAGAUACC